rnacentral:tRNA from 1 species
GGGGGAAUUCCCGAGUGGCCAAAGGGGGCAGACUGUAAAUCUGUUAGCGACGCUUUCAGUGGUUCGAAUCCACUUUCCCCCA